rnacentral:siRNA from 1 species
CCAAACCCGUUCCGCCAACCCGU